GUUGGAUCUAAAAAGAUCUCCGUGCCCUCGAAUACGAUCUUCUCAGCGCCGCUGUUUAUCGCUCGUUGAAUCGUUAAAAUUUGUUGCGCUACUACUGAUAACACUUCGAGAUCGAUUCGAUUGAAUUCGUCAAAACAAGACCAGGCGCCGCAAGAAGCUAAUCCUUUGAAGAAUUUUCCUAAUGCGAGUUCCGGCGGGUCCCUCCGGUGCACCGCCUAGAUGAAGGCUCAAAGCGCCGAAUAGAGUUCGAUAACAUCUAUCUGUUAAGGGAGUGAUUACUAAUCUUGAAGAAUUGCCAAGGUACUCGUAACCAUAACGUUGCUGUGAGUUUAUCAU
rnacentral:misc_RNA from 1 species